rnacentral:rRNA from 1 species
AUUGAACGCUGGCGGCAUGCCUUACACAUGCAAGUCGAACGGCAGCACGGGAGCAAUCCUGGUGGCGAGUGGCGAACGGGUGAGUAAUAUAUCGGAACGUGCCCAGUCGUGGGGAUAACGUAGCGAAAGCUACGCUAAUACCGCAUACGAUCUAUGGAUGAAAGCGGGGGAUCGCAAGACCUCGCGCGAUUGGAGCGGCCGAUAUCAGAUUAGGUAGUUGGUGAGGUAAAGGCUCACCAAGCCGACGAUCUGUAGCUGGUCUGAGAGGACGACCAGCCACACUGGGACUGAGACACGGCCCAGACUCCUACGGGAGGCAGCAGUGGGGAAUU